UACGUAGGGGGCUAGCGUUGUCCGGAAUCAUUGGGCGUAAAGCGCGUGUAGGCGGCCUUGUAAGUCCGUUCUGAAAGCCCGGGGCUCAACCCCGGGAGGCGGAUGGAUACUGCAAGGCUCGAGUCCGGAAGAGGCGAGUGGAAUUCCCGGUGUAGCGGUGAAAUGCGCAGAUAUCAGGAAGAACACCCGUGGCUAAGGCGGCUCUCUAGUACGGUACUGACGCUGAGACGCGAAAGCGUGGGGAGCGAACAGG
rnacentral:rRNA from 1 species